GAAAAGGGGAGCUUGCCGUAAGCAGGCUGAGAACAGAAUGUUUGGUCUGGACCCGUAACCUGAUUUGGAUAAUGCCAACGUAGGGAUAGAGCAGAUGC
rnacentral:ncRNA from 1 species